rnacentral:lncRNA from 1 species
CGACUCUUUCUCAGUUAUAUAUAUACUAAAAGAAUCAGUUUGCAAGAUACAACAAUUACAACACACGCUCGAACAAUUUCUCAUUUGCGAAUACAAGCUCUGAACCUCUGAACAAGUGUUUUUCCCUCUUAGUCCAAAUACUCUGUAGUUUUUAUAUACUCACUGUAUUUGAUCUUUAAGGUUCUUUUAAGAGCAGUUGUAUUACAAUCAACGAAC